rnacentral:rRNA from 1 species
AGUGAACGCUUGCGGUAGGCCUAACACAUGCAAGUCGAACGGCAGCACAGUAAGAGCUUGCUCUUACGGGUGGCGAGUGGCGGACGGGUGAGGAAUACAUCGGAAUCUACUUUUUCGUGGGGGAUAAUGUAGGGAAACUUACGCUAAUACCGCAUACGACCUACGGGUGAAAGCAGGGGAUCUUCGGACCUUGCGCGAUUGAAUGAGCCGAUGUCGGAUUAGCUAGUUGGCGGGGUAAAGGCCCACCAAGGCGACGAUCCGUAGCUGGUCUGAGAGGAUGAUCAGCCACACUGGAACUGAGACACGGUCCAGACUCCUACGGGAGGCAGCAGUGGGGAAUAUUGGACAAUGGGCGCAAGCCUGAUCCAGCCAUACCGCGUGGGUGAAGAAGGCCUUCGGGUUGUAAAGCCCUUUUGUUGGGAAAGAAAAGCAGCAGGUUAAUACCCCGCUGUUCUGACGGUACCCAAAGAAUAAGCACCGGCUAACUUCGUG